rnacentral:rRNA from 1 species
AUAUCAGUAAGCGGAGGAAAAGAAACUAACAAGGAUUCCCGCAGUAACUGCGAGUGAAGAGGGAAGAGCCCAGCCCUGGAAUCUGUGCCCGGUGGGUGCAGAGUUGUAGGCUGAAGUGUCGAUGCACGGCGCGAUGGCCCCGUCUAACUGGCCCGGAAUGGCCGGACAGAGAAGGUGAUAUUCCUGUGAGGCGGGGUCGGAGUGUCACGCGCGGCACGGCGAGUCGGACUGUUUGGGAUUGCAGUUUGAAGUUGGUGGUAGACUCCAUCUAAGGCUAAAUACGAGCGAGAGACCGAUAGCGCACAAGUA